UAGCAUUUCCUGCAAUUCCAUAGUGAAGAACUCCUUUCACAUCAAAUAAAGUAAGCAACAACUGGGUUGAAAUGCCUGGAUUUAGCUACACAAAAACAAGCCAAACGAUUCAAAAAACAAAAGGAGAAACAUAGCCAAAAGUUAAUAUGAAGUGUAGAAUAGAAAGCUUGUUUACCAUUCCCAAUCCACACAUAACAACUACAACCCUUUUACUUUCCAAUACACCAAUACAAAAAUGUUUUCCUGCAUUGUCAAAGGGAAAAAUACCAAACAUUUGGAAAAUUUCUAACUUUUUUAUAUCAUACUAAAUGCUUGCAUUGUGUUGACUUUUAUCAUCUGUCAUGACUGUAUACAAAAUCUGUUAUCUCGGUUUAUUCUGUCACUGUAUGACUAUAUAUUCUUAGCACUGUAUUCGGGUUGAAUAAUAAUGACAAAUACAUUCAUUUAUAUAUAUAUAUUGACAUGUAUAGAGUUAUAUCAGAAAANAAAAUUUCACACAGAUAUUUUAUCUAUAUAUGUAGUAUGUGUUUUGGUAUCUGAUAUACAUUAAAUACAAAACGUGUUCGAACUUCAUAGGUAGGAGCAUGGUUGAUGAAGUUACCUGCAUAAUUGAAGUAAGNAAAGUUGUGAUGAGGCUGAAAGCUUGAUGAACGAAGAAGAGGAUCCAACUCAAAGGAAUUUGGCACCACUAUACCAAUGUAUGGUCCUUCACCAUUGAUAAUGCUGAUUUGUCUCCAUGAAAGUUCAGAAAUUGUACCAUUUGCCAUCAUGAUACUGCACAGUGACAACACAGAAAUAGUUUUUUUUUUUUUUUU
rnacentral:lncRNA from 1 species